CCUACGGGUGACAGCAGUGGGGGAUAUUGCACAAUGGGGGAAACCCUGAUGCAGCGACGCCGCGUGAGUGAAGAAGUAUUUCGGUACGUAAAGCUCUAUCAGCAGGGAAGAAAAUGACGGUACCUGACUAAGAAGCCCCGGCUAACUACGUGCCAGCAGCCGCGGUAAUACGUAGGGGGCAAGCGUUAUCCGGAUUUACUGGGUGUAAAGGGAGCGUAGACGGCAGCGCAAGUCUGGAGUGAAAUCCCAUGGCUUAACCAUGGAACUGCUUUGGAAACUGUGCAGCUAGAGUGCAGGAGAGGUAAGCGGAAUUCCUAGUGUAGCGGUGAAAUGCGUAGAUAUUAGGAGGAACACCAGUGGCGAAGGCGGCUUACUGGACUGUAACUGACGUUGAGGCUCGAAAGCGUGGGGAGCAAACAGGAUUAGAUACCCCUGUAGUC
rnacentral:rRNA from 1 species